rnacentral:rRNA from 1 species
CACGUAGGGUGCGAGCGUUGUCCGGAAUCAUUGGGCGUAAAGAGCGUGUAGGCGGCCAGGUAGGUCUGCUGUGAAAACUCGGGGCUCAACCCCGAGCCUGCAGUCGAUACGGGCAGACUAGAGUGCGGUAGGGGAGACUGGAAUUCCUGGUGUAGCGGUGAAAUGCGCAGAUAUCAGGAGGAACACCGGUGGCGAAGGCGGGUCUCUGGGCCGUAACUGACGCUGAGGAGCGAAAGCGUGGGGAGCAAACAGG